UAUUACUAAGCGGAGGAAAAGAAACUAACUAAGAUUGACAUAGUAAGGGCGACUGAAAUGUCACUAGCUCAGCAUGUGAAUCAGCGUUGUCUUUUGUCAGCGCUGAAUUGUGGUCUUAUGGUUCUUGCGCUACUUCGUCCAGACCAUGUUUUUUGGAAUAAAAUAGCAAAGAGGGUGAAACUCCUGUUCGUCUGGUCGAACGAAGCAAGUACUACUGAGUCGAGUUGUUUGGGAUUGCAGCUCAAAUGCGGUGGUAAAUUCCAUCUCCAGCUAAAUAUUGGUGGGAGACCGAUAGCGUACAAGUACCGUGAGGGAAAGAUGCAAAGAACUUUGAAAAGAGAGUGAAAGAGUACCUGAAAUUGCUGAAAAGGAAGCGAACGAAGCUAGUGAAAGCUACGUCAUACUUUCCCACUUGCUCGCAAGUGGGACGCUGUGGCGAGCCGAGUUGCGCUUGAUUGCUGAGCAACAAACGAACGUGAAAGCAGGUGACGAAAAGUUGUUUACCAAUUUUCGUUCACACUUGGCACGUACAGCGAUCGAGCUCAACCAAAUACCUUUGUUUGCCCCGUCUAGAAACACGGACCAAGGAGUCUAACAUAUGUGCAAGUACUGGAGUUGUACUAUACUUACACAGUGCGCAAUGAAAGUGUCAGAGGCUGGAAUGCAGUUACUCGCAUUUGCACAGUCCGCCGGCCUCAAUCCCUCGGGAAAAUGGUCUGAGUGUGAGCAUACAUGUUGGGACCCGAAAGAUGGUGAACUAUGCUUGAGUAGGGUGAAGCCAGGGGAAACUUUGGUGAAGGCUCGCAGCGAUUCUGACGUGCAAAUCGAUCGUCAAACUUGAGUAUAGGGGCGAAAGACUAAUCGAACUAUCUAGUAGCUGGUUCCCUCCGAAAUUUCCCUUAGGAUAGCUGCAAUCUCUGUAGUA
rnacentral:rRNA from 1 species